AGUGGAACAGGCGCACGUGCCUACCAGCCUCCUCUCCCUCCCCAGUGUGCACUGCCUCCAGAGUGCCUGCUCUGUGAACGAAAGUGGGUGCUCUGCCAAUCUAAGAAUCCCACUGAACCUCCACGGCCCCUGCUCCACUCAGCCCUGAGGGACAAAAUUCUGUGUCCACCUCCAUCCUGACCUCGUAGAGCUCCACAUUGUGCCUGCAAGCAGGCCUCCCCCAGCAGUAGAUUCAAGCAGCAUUCCACAGCCUUUCCCAGAAGGGCGGGCGAGGAUGUGCCAGCACCUCCCUUCCCUGGCACCACCAGCCACGUGGUAAGGGGCAAGCCACAGGACUGGUGCCAGCUGCGAGCAUAGACCUCUUGGGUGUUUGGGAUUCUUCCUGCUCAAGGGUUGCCUUGGACAGGGUGGUAGCUCCCCGACUCGCCAGACUUGGCUGGGACCUCUGCCUCCCUCCCGAGACCCCUGGGAAAGCCUCCCAGAUGCCAUGUGGAUAUGUAUGCCUGGGAGGCCUCCAGGCAGGGACCUUGGAAAAUGCUCACCAUGCCCCAGUGCCAGUCCAGGCCUGGACCCAAAUCUACAGCAGUGACUUCAGCCCCACCCCCACC